CGUGUAGGCGGCUGUUCUAGUUGGGCGUGAAAGCCUUGGGCUUAACCCAAGAAAUGCGCUCAAUACUGGAUAGCUAGAGGACCGGAGAGGAUAGUGGAAUUCCCAGUGUAGUGGUGAAAUACGUAGAGAUUGGGAAGAACACCAGUGGCGAAGGCGGCUAUCUGGACGGUUUCUGACGCUAAGACGCGAAAGCGUGGGGAGCAAACA
rnacentral:rRNA from 1 species